rnacentral:rRNA from 1 species
GCAAGCUUAACACAUGCAAGUCGAACGGAUUAUCUUUUAUAGCUUGCUAUGGAGGAUAAUUAGUGGCAGACGGGUGAGUAAUGCAUAGGAAUCUACCUAGUAGUAUGGGAUAGCCACUAGAAAUGGUGGGUAAUACUGUAUAAUCCCUGCGGGGGAAAGAUUUAUCGCUAUUAGAUGAGCCUAUGAUAGAUUAGCUAGUUGGUAGGGUAAAGGCCUACCAAGGCGAUGAUCUAUAGCUGGUCUGAGAGGAUGAUCAGCCACACUGGAACUGAGAUACGGUCCAGACUCCUACGGGAGGCAGCAGUGGGGAAUAUUGGACAAUGGGCGCAAGCCUGAUCCAGCUAUGCCGCGUGAGUGAGGAAGGCCUUAGGGUUGUAAAACUCUUUCAGUAGGGAAGAUAAUGACGGUACCUACAGAAGAAGUCCCGGCAAACUCCGUGCCAGCAGCCGCGGUGAUACGGAGGGGGCAAGCGUUGUUCGGAAUUAUUGGGCGUAAAGGGCAUGUCGGCGGUUCGGUAAGUUAAAGGUGAAAUGCCAGGGCUUAAC